rnacentral:rRNA from 1 species
ACGCUGGCGGCGUGCUUAACACAUGCAAGUCGAACGGAAAGGCCCUGCUUUGUGGGGUGCUCGAGUGGCGAACGGGUGAGUAACACGUGAGUAACCUGCCCUUGACUUUGGGAUAACUUCAGGAAACUGGGGCUAAUACCGGAUAGGAGCUCCUGCUGCAUGGUGGGGGUUGGAAAGUUUCGGCGGUUGGGGAUGGACUCGCGGGCUUAUCAGCUUGUUGGUGGGGUAGUGGCUUACCAAGGCUUUGACGGGUAGCCGGCCUGAGAGGGUGACCGGCCACAUUGGGACUGAGAUACGGCCCAGACUCCUACGGGAGGCAGCAGUGGGGAAUAUUGCACAAUGGGCGGAAGCCUGAUGCAGCAACGCCGCGUGCGGGAUGACGGCCUUCGGGUUGUAAACCGCUUUCGCCUGUGACGAAGCGUGAGUGACGGUAAUGGGUAAAGAAGCACCGGCUAACUACGUG